rnacentral:rRNA from 1 species
CACACCGCCCGUCACGCCAUGGAAGUUGGUUCUACCUGAAGCCGGUGCGCUAACCGCAAGGAUGCAGCCGACCACGGUAGGGUCAAUGACUGGGGCG